rnacentral:miRNA from 1 species
UGUGGUGACGGGUCAAGACUGU